GAACCCGGGGAGUGGCGGAGCCAAUAGGCUGCUAGCAUCGCUGCCCAAUGGAAUGGGGGCGCAGGUAGCCGGAAAGCCAAUCGAGAGAAAGGCGGGCCUCAGCAUCCUCCCUCAUUGGAAGGAAGAGCUAUGCAGAUUAGCCAAUCACCAGCUUCCAUUGCAGCCCUCUCUUAGCCAAUCGGCUGUGGCGGUUGGCGCGGGGGGCUGAGGAAGGGGCUUGCGGGCGGGGGACACUUAAAGCGGCCGUGUGGUGCCUGAGGCGCCCCGUCCCGCUCAGCUCCUCGCGACGGCGCGCGUGGAUGAGGAACAGACCGUCCCUCUCUGUAGUAAAUGAGAUUGCUGUAGCUGCACUGCAUUAUUUCACUACUUUAAGCAAAACGUUUCACUUUGCCCUACGCGGGCACAAGCUGUGAGCUCUGUUGAAAAUUCGUUUGUUAUUAAUGAUAAAUUCCCCCUCUGAAGACCCAAUCAAAAUGAACGUUGCCAUUAUGUGAUCACAGAGCAACGCUCACCUGGAGAGCCCGAGGACAAAGCAGGGCACACAGAGAAGGGAACACACACAAAAAGAGCUCGUAAAAGGCAAAUAUACCUCCAGAGCAAGGCAAAGUUAAUUUCAGUUAAAAAUAAAUAUUAAAAGUGCACAAGAGAAGUGAUACGCAUAGGCAAGAGGCAGGGGAUGGGUUGUUCCCUGUACAUCAGGACUGGGCUUGCUAUCCUGGACUGAACACAUUGUUUCCUGCAGCUUUCAAAUAGCAAUUAUAUCCAAUUCAUUUUAAAAGCCUUUUCUGGCUGGCACUGAUCCUGUCACAGCGAGAAAAAUAGCAUCGAAGGCUCAUUAUUUUGGAAAGAAAGAAAAUAUUUACUGCAGAAGUUCAUUUCAUUUCAGAAGAGUGAUAUAAGAUAGCGUGAGUGAUUUACUGCUUUCACUAUUCGAGCUAAAUAAAUCUCCUCCUUUCCCAGCUCUUGAAUAUAGAGUUGUGCUGGCAGAGUGGAUUACAUCUGAUCUAUGUACCAUGACAAGUACUGAAAAUUGUGGGCUUCAUUGCUGUAUUCACCCACUCCUUCCUGAAGAUAAGAAGAAAGUGUCAAUACAGAGAGCAGCCUUUGCUCCGUUCCGUCAGCAUAAGAAAGCACAAAGCUGCUCUGAAGAUGUCAUGAGUAUACAGUCUGACACCAUGGAAACCAAGGUUGGGAGACUGAUAAGGAUACUAUAAGAACUUGGACAAUGUCUAAGAGAUUCUGCUUCUUACUGAGGUAUCUGUUAUCACUAUCACAGCCAGCUAUCCUAUGCAUACCACACGUAAACACAAUCGAUCCACCAAGAGAAAAAGAAAAAUCUGAAAAAUGAAACCCUGGAGUUCUCACCCACUGCUGAAAGUACAGUGAGUUGUUAUGUUUAUUUUAUAGCUUGUUUGAUCUCAGGGUAUAGACUAUUGAGUAGAACUUCAUACAAACAAAACCAUGAGAAUUUACUUGCUCUGACUUUAGCAUUUUGACUCUAAGACAAAGGAACUUUGCUUUAUACUACUGCUCUCCUGUGAAGGGUGUUGCCACAACUGCCACCUGUAUUGGAAACCAAGGUACCAGUUUCUAGCAGGUUUCUCUAGGUAGUUCAAGAACAAAAACCAAGAUCGUGAAGGAAAGUUUUAUUUGACUUAUUCAACUUGUAAUGCCCACAACCUAAGAUUAGAGGUAUUAGAAAAAAAAUAGCCACAAAGCAAAAAAAAAAAAAAAAAAGAA